rnacentral:lncRNA from 1 species
UCGGUUUUUAUCGUAUUUAGAAGAAACCAAAGGUAAAGACAUUUUGAAUUUACUUGACUAGGGUACCGGAACAUCGCGAUUCCGAUCGGAAUUAUCUAAACAUUUAAAAGGCAAUUUUAAUUUAUUUUGUUUCGAUUAUGUGAAUGAAUGCCUAUAUGUAUAGAAUUUCAAUGAUCUUUCAUAUUUCAACCAGACACUCGGAAUGCUUCUAAUCCUUUAGCACGAAUCAUGUUUGUUUGUGGUGAUGCAGAACGUCUUCCAUUUAUAAAUCAGACACGAUGAACAUAAUUUUCGAUAAAAGCACAACAGACUCUUUACUCAAA